AACGAACGCUGGCGGCAGGCCUAACACAUGCAAGUCGAGCGAGGACUUCGGUUCUAGCGGCGGACGGGUGAGUAACGCGGGGGAAUGUGCCCUUCUCUACGGAAUAGUCCUGGGAAACUGGGAGUAAUACCGUAUACGCCCUAUUGGGGAAAGAUUUAUCGGAGAAGGAUCAGCCCGCGUUGGAUUAGGUAGUUGGUGGGGUAAUGGCCUACCAAGCCGAGGAUCCAUAGCUGGUUUGAGAGGAUGAUCAGCCACACUGGGACUGAGACACGGCCCAGACUCCUACGGGAGGCAGCAGUGGGGAAUCUUAGGCAAUGGGGGCAACCCUGAUCUAGCCAUGCCGCGUGAGUGAUGAAGGCCUUAGGGUUGUAAAGCUCUUUGAGCUGGGAAGAUAAUGACGGUACCAGCAGAAGAAGCCCCGGCUAACUCCGUG
rnacentral:rRNA from 1 species